CUACACACACACACACACACACAGAACACAGGGUGGGACUACACACACACACACACACACACACAGGGUGGGACUACACACACACACACACACAUGGUGGGACUACACACACACACACACACACACACACACACACAGGGUGGGACUACACACACACACACACACACAGGGUGGGACUACACACACACACACACACAGGGUGGGACUACACACACACACACACACACAGAACACAGGGUGGGACUACACACACACACACACACACACACACACACACACACACACACACACACAGAACACAGGGUGG
ensembl:lncRNA